ensembl:lncRNA
AUGAUCUCAUCAAAUCUGGAUUUAUUUAAUUUAAAUCUUCCAGGAACCUUUCUAGAGUCAUCUUUAGUCAUGAACUGGAAGGCGUACCUAAUCAUCAGAAGGGAAUCAGAGGUAGAUAUACAUUUCUCCAGAGUGCAUCUAUACAACUUUCUAUGGGCCAAAGGAACCACAAAGAAAACAACUGGCUGGUCUUGUAUAAUCAUGGACAUGAAGCAGAAAGAAAGAGCAUUGAGUUCUUGCCCAAAGAAGGAUAUACCGCUGCUGACAUCCACAGAAGUCUUAGAAAUGUAUAUGGUGAGGUGACAACUGAUGAGAGCAAUAUGUGAAUAUGAGUGGGAAAGUCUUAAAAAAGUGAAUCCAGUGCAGAAGAUAAACAAGGUAAUGGAAGACCACUGAUAGCAGUCACUAAUGAAAACCAAACCAAGGUGGAUGAUAUGAUUCACACAGACUAGUGUAUGACUGUCCAAGAGAUGAUUGAGGAACCUGACUGUGUUCACAGUAAUCUUGAGCAGAUUAUCAACAAUAUUGGAUGCAUGAAAGUGUGUGCCAAAUGAGUUCCUCAUCAUUUAGUAGCCAAUUUGAAAGAGAAGAGAUUACAUACUUGUUUAGAAUUGUUGCCAGCAUUUGAAGUUCAUGAGGGUACCUUUUCCAUGAAUGUUUGCAUUGAUAAUGAUACCAGAGCAUAUCUGUAUGACCCAAGGACCAAGACUCAGUCCAUGGACUAGUGGCACUUUACCUCUCCUAGACCAAAGAAAUUCAGAAGUCAGCAUUUAGUACAGAAGAUAAUAGCGAGUGUCUUCUAUCAUGACAAGAGGGUGGUUUUGCUUGAUUUCCUUGAGUGUGGUACAACAAUGAAUAGCGACGAUCACAUUGCAUCACUUCAGAAACGUCAAGAAUCUAUCCAUUAGAACAGUGGUUCCUAACCUUUUUUUUGAUCAGGGGUCACUUUGACUAGGGACCACUCUCCAACAUUAGUACACAAAGUGUUACAAAUAAGUUUUUGGUAAACGUUAGGUUCAGUUUGGUUAUUUAAGGUGUUGAUUCAGAAAAUUGCAUCGGAUAGACCACUUCAGCUCUAAUUUCUGAAACAGAACAUAUGCCAUCCAGUAGUUGCCAUCUGCUCACCCACAGAAAAUCAUAUUUAAUAAUCUAGAGCUGGUGUGGCCUAUCCACAGGCUGAGAACCACUGCAUUAGAGAAUACCAUAGAACCAUCUGAGUGCAAUUUAGUUACACCACAAAUAAUACCUGACCCUGCACAGAUUCUUGCUCAGAUGGAAUGGUCAGAGGCUCUACAUCCACCACCACCUUAUCUAGUGACCUCAGACUUUCACCUGUUUGAUCAGAUGAUGGAAGCUCUUCAGGGACAACAUCUCAAUCAUCUGCAAAGUGGAUGAUGCUAUCAGACACUGGACCAAGGAAUGCCUGAAAGAGUUUUUCCAAAGUGGAUUUGAUGAGUGAGUUCAAAGAUAGUACAAAUGCAUCACCUCUGGUAGAGAUUAAUUUAAAUGGCAUCAUGCUGUAGAUAAAGAGUUACUUUACACAUGUUUGUAGUUGCAUAUCUCUCAUGUUGUCAAUAAAGUAGUUACAAAAGCAACAGUCAAAACCACUUUAAAAGUGGCAACACUUUAAAACAAUGCACAUGUAUUUUUGAAAUAAAUUAAUUUGUGAAAGUUUCAAUAAAUAGACACAUGUUGGCUUUGCUUCCACAGUUGGAGUGCUGCAGCAGAGAAGGCCGUCUCUCAUGACCUUGUACUUCAUAUUGCACCUGCCAGUGGGGUAGAGAGAAGACCCCCUCGUGCACACCUUGGGCAGGUAUCUAUAGGGAGAGAUGCUCCUUUUGAUAUUAUAGUCCCAAGCUGUUUGUCUUUAAAUAUCAUCACUGGCAUCUAAAAACGCUCUAAAAGAGUAACAGCCAAAUAUGUCAUAACAAAGCAAGUAGUCUCUUUCUCACUUGUUACAAUUAACUUUGUUGCACCCUCCUUUUCAAGAACUGUAACAUGUUACCACUACUUAUGUCACUUGUAACUUCAUGUUUUUAGACUUUGUGCAACAUUGCAAACGGAAGCAUGAUUGUGUUGGUCCUAUGUCCAGGUGGGCACUAUUAUGAUAUAUUUACCUUGGAACCUAGUAUCCAAAUUAAAGAUGAUGUAUAAUUAUGAUUGUAAUUCUUAGGGAUCAAUAGUAUGUUUAUAACUUAACUCUUCAUCACACUUCACUCUUUCAAGUUUUCUCAUGUUCUUCAAAUAACCAGAGGAAUUGAGUUAUCCACCUAUAUGUAGUGCAAAACUAGCUGUGCACAUUUAAGUCCUUAUCCACUUACUUUAAUCUGAAAAUGUGCUUGGUUGUAAUCAGUUUUAUUCAGAUUAUGCCUCUAGUCAAUAGAAUUUUGAAUAAGACAGAAAGUGUAGCUUUUUGCUUUUGAAAAAUGGCAUUUAGAGCCUUUUGGAAAAACACCUUUUGGUGAUCAUAACUUUUUAAAAGAAAAGCAUGAUCUUUUCAGAAGAGCCCCAAAUCCUUUUGAGUAGACUCUUCUCUUGUGGUAUACAACCAGAUAUAAUUAUGGAAGGCAAUGUUUCAGUUGUUAGACAAAAACAGAGAUUUGCCAUUGCAUAAAAACUGCAGAGUUUUAGAAGUGUUUUUCAGUGCCCAAAUCUAUCUAUCUAUCUAUAAAUUAAAGGGAAAGGUUUCUCCUUGACAUUAAGCCUAGUUAUGUCUGACUCUGGGGGUUGGUGCUCAUCUCCAUUUCUUAGCCGAAGAGCUGACAUUGUUGGUAGACACGUCCAAGGUUAUGUGGAUGGCAUAACUGCAUGGAACCUUUCCAUUACCCUUCUACCAAAGUGGUACGUAUUGAUCUACUCAUAUUUUGCAUGUUUUUAAACUGCUAGGUUGGAAGAAGUUGGGGCUAACAAUGGGAACUCACCCCGCUCCCCGGAUUCGAACUGCCGACCUUUCAGUCAGCAAGUUCAGCAGCUCAGCAGUUUAACCCACUGUGCCAUAAAACAAUUUGUUUUAUAUCAUACACGCAAGAGACAAAAAUGAAGUUGACUUCACUAAAAAUAGCAUAUUUGGUUUGCUCACAACCUUCAUGUUUUCAGCACACACAGAUACAAAACUUAUCAGUCCAGUUUCAGAUAUGUUUGAGAUAAUUCUCUGUGUCAUCCAGCCAGGACAUCUCUUACAGCAAAAAGCAAGUGUGUGAUCUGAGAUUCGAAGUAGUCUGCACUCUAUCUGUUGUAGUAUUUCUGUCUGUAAUAGACUGUCUGUCUGUGGUGAUCAUGUGGUUUGCAGCCCCUUUUAUAACUUCUCAGGAAAAAUAGAGUAAAGGAAGCUGCAUACCAGAACAUACAUACAAACAGUAAGCAACAGGAUCCUAGAUAAACAUUACUAGAGAAGGCUUGAAGAAGGUUGUCAUUCCCAAUGUUUGCUGAUUAACUGGCUAUGUCAAAUUUUGAUUGGCAAAGAUAAAAUUUAAUUGGCAAAAAACAGUAAUUCAUUUCUUAGGGGCUAUUUUGGCUUUGGAAUGAUGCAGUAGCAGCAAAGAGAAAUAUUAAAAGAUGGUUUUCUGACACAUGGGAUCUUUUCUUUGUUAAUUCAUAAUGUUGAAUAGUGCUUCCUUCAGCAUGGAAAUACACUUGCCUCUACUUGAACCAUUUUCUAAUUGGCUAAAAAGCCUGAUCGGACCAACGCACUUCCGUUGAUCAAGAGAGGACUAGAAAUUUUAAAUCCACGCAUUUACUCACAAACUAUGAAGAUUUCUUUACCCCAGCUCUUGAGCAUGUGACAAUAAAUUGGACAUAUUCCUGUUCCUUGCCCAGAUAUUUUAUUUUAUUUUUAUGAAAGGAUUAUUAACCAUUAAUCAUUGGGGAAAAAUAAAUAAUUAAAUAUGUCCCUAGUUGAAAUUACAAAAUCAGUUUGACUUCCAUUUUCAACCCUGCUGUACAGGCAACAACGGUGCUUGCCUGAAAUACUUGCACUUAUCUAUUCCAGGAGUAGUUUUUGAUUGAUAUUUUGUACUGCAAGAACAUAGUUCAACAUGUUGUUGAAAUACACAAAACACAAAGAAUAUGUUCAGAGUUAAACAAAGAGAAGAAUAUGUAUAGAAGACAAAGACAUUUUUAUAAUACCAGUUUCAACUCUUUGAAUAUGAUAAGCAAUUGUCUGCUAAUCUUGUGACCAGCACCAUGUGCCAAGGCAGUCAUAUGAAUACUGAUGUCAUGCAAACACAUAGGGCUUAGUGUCGAUUGGUCUUUUUUUGCUCACCUCUGUAGACAUUUUUUAAAUACAGUAGCUGAAGCACAUUUAGUUUCUGAGUACAGUAGUAGACUCUCAGACACUCAUAGUGCUGAAUACACUAAUCUGGCUCAGGUGCUCAAAAUGUUUAGCUUUCCAGUAGAUUCUCUAUGAAUAGCCAAGUUCUGCUUUUUAAAUUUUUUUUAAAUCCAGCAUAUAAUAUGGAAUAGCAGAUUUUCAAACGAGUUAUUCUAAGAUCUCUUUGGAUUAGCUCUGACAAGAUUUUCUGCAAAAGACCAGACAGUUGUGAAGAACAAAGAUAGGAAGAUGUGGGGAUUCAUGAGAAAGAUAUUCCAUCCAUACAUUGUUAUUUGCUAUCAAACUGACUUUGAAUUUUUUUUUUACUUUAUCCAUGAGAGACCUCUUGGAGUUCUUUUGUGCAUUUACAUCACAGCUUUUCAAACUGUGUGCCACAGCACAUUAGUCAGCUGUAGUGAGUAGGGACCUCAUCACAUUAAGAAAUACUCUUUCCUGAAACUGUUUGAAGAUGAUUUCCACUAGGUCCCAUGACAUGAUGUUUGCCCCAUCCCAUUGGUAAUCCAUUGAAAUCCAUCUGCAACACAUCACAGAAAUGGAGCAUUUCCAGACAAUAAUCAUACUUCU